UACGUAGGGUGCGAGCGUUGUCCGGAAUUAUUGGGCGUAAAGAGCUCGUAGGCGGUCUGUCGCGUCGAUCGUGAAAACUUGGGGCUUAACCCUGAGCUUGCGGUCGAUACGGGCAUGACUGGAGUUCGGCAGGGGAGACUGGAAUUCCUGGUGUAGCGGUGAAAUGCGCAGAUAUCUGGAGGAACACCAGUGGCGAAGGCGGCUUCCUGGCCUGUAACUGACGCUGAGACGCGAAAGCGUGGGGAGCGAACCGG
rnacentral:rRNA from 1 species